GGGUUAAGUCCCGCAACGAGCGCAACCCCUACGUUUAGUUGCUAACGCGUGAAGGCGAGCACUCUAGACGAACUGCCGUUGACAAACGGAGGAAGUGGGAUGACGUCAAAUCAUCAUGCCCCUUAUGUUCUGGGCUACACACGUGCUACAAUGGCCGGUACAGACGGACGCAAAGCCGCGAGGUGGAGCAAAUCCUAAAAAGCCGGUCUCAGUUCGGAUUGCAGGCUGCAAUUCGCCUGCAUGAAGUCGGAAUCGCUAGUAAUCGCAGGUCAGCAUACUGCGGUGAAUACGUUCCCGGGCCUU
rnacentral:rRNA from 1 species